ACGGGAGGCAGCAGUGGGGAAUAUUGGGCAAUGGGCGAAAGCCUGACCCAGCGACGCCGCGUGAGGGAAGAAGGUCUUCGGAUUGUAAACCUUAGUCAACAGGGAAGAAGCAAGUGACGGUACCUGUGGAGGAAGCCACGGCUAACUACGUGCCAGCAGCCGCGGUAAUACGUAGGGGGCAAGCGUUAUCUGGAUUUACUGGGUGUAAAGGGAGCGUAGACGGAAUUGCAAGUCUGAUGUGAAAGGCAUGGGCUCAACCCGUGGACUGCAUUGGAAACUGUAAUUCUUGAGUGCCGGAGGGGUAAGCGGAAUUCCUGGUGUAGCGGUGAAAUGCGUAGAUAUCAGGAGGAACACCGGUGGCGAAGGCGGCUUACUGGACGGCAACUGACGUUGAGGCUCGAAGGCGUGGGGAGCAAACAGGAUUAGAUACCCUGGA
rnacentral:rRNA from 1 species